rnacentral:snRNA from 1 species
UUGCUCACUUUGGCAGCACAUAUACUAAAAUUGGAACAAUACAGAGGAGAUUAGCAUGGUCCCUGCACAAGGAUGACACGCAAAUUAGUGAAGCGUUCCAUAUUUUU